GAUGAACGCUAGCGGGAGGCUUAACACAUGCAAGUCGAGGGGUAAAAUUCAGCAAUGGAUUGAGACCGGCGGACGGGUGCGUAACGCGUAUGCAACAUACCUUGUGCAGGGGGAUAGCCCGUGGAAACGCGGAUUAAUAUUCCAUAGAUCAGUAACAUCGCAUGGUGUAACUGGUAAAGAUGAGUCGGCACAAGAUUGGCAUGCGUCUGAUUAGCUGGUUGGUAGGGUAACGGCCUACCAAGGCGACGAUCAGUAGGGGUUCUGAGAGGAUUAACCCCCACACUGGUACUGAGACACGGACCAGACUCCUACGGGAGGCAGCAGUGAGGAAUAUUGGUCAAUGGGCGGAAGCCUGAACCAGCCAUCCCGCGUGAAGGAAGAAGGCCCUACGGGUUGUAAACUUCUUUUCUGUUUGAAGAAUAAGCCCGUCGUGACGGGUGAUGCCGGUAGGACAGGAAUAAGCAUCGGCUAACUCCGUG
rnacentral:rRNA from 1 species